rnacentral:rRNA from 1 species
UACGAAGGGGGCUAGCGCUGCUCGGAAUCACUGGGCGUAAAGGGUGCGUAGGCGGGUCUUUUAAGUCAGAGGUGAAAUCCUGGAGCUCAACUCCAGAACUGCCUUUGAUACUGAGGAUCUUGAGUUCGGGAGAGGUGAGUGGAACUGCGAGUGUAGAGGUGAAAUUCGUAGAUAUCCGCAAGAACACCAGUGGCGAAGGCGGCUCACUGGCCCGAUACUGACGCUGAGGCACGAAAGCGUGGGGAGCAAACAGG